ACAUGAAGCCGGAAUCGCUAGUAAUCGCGGAUCAGAAUGCCGCGGUGAAUACGUUCCCGGGUCUUGUACACACCGCCCGUCACACCAUGGGAGUCGGGAAUGCCCGAAGUCAGUGACCCAACCCAAGGGAGGGAGCUGCCGAAGGCAGGCCUGGUGACUGGGGUGAAGUCGUAACAAGGUAGC
rnacentral:rRNA from 1 species